UACGAAGGGUGCAAGCGUUGUUCGGAUUUAUUGGGCGUAAAGCGCGCGCAGGCGGAUAAUCAAGUCAGAUGUGAAAUCUCGGGGCCUAACCCCGAAACUGCGUCUGAAACUGGUAAUCUAGAAUCUUGUAGGGGGUAGGGGAAUUUCUCAUGUAGGGGUAAAAUCCGUAGAGAUGAGAAGGAACACCAGAGGCGAAGGCGCCUACCUGGACAAGUAUUGACGCUGAGGCGCGAAAGCGUGGGGAGCAAACAGG
rnacentral:rRNA from 1 species